CUGGUACCUUCGGUGCCCGAGUUGUAAUUUGGAGAGGGCAACUUUGGGGCCGUUCCUUGUCUAUGUUCCUUGGAACAGGACGUCAUAGAGGGUGAGAAUCCCGUGUGGCGAGGAGUGCGGUUCUUUGUAAAGUGCCUUCGAAGAGUCGAGUUGUUUGGGAAUGCACCUCUAAGUGGGUGGUAAGUUCCAUCUAAAGCUAAAU
rnacentral:rRNA from 1 species